UACGGGGGGGGCAAGCGUUGUUCGGAAUUACUGGGCGUAAAGGGCGCGUAGGCGGCCUUCUAAGUCAGACGUGAAAUCCCUCGGCUCAACCGAGGAACUGCGUCUGAUACUGGAAGGCUUGAAUCCGGGAGAGGGAUGUGGAAUUCCAGGUGUAGCGGUGAAAUGCGUAGAGAUCGGGAAGAACAUCAGUGGCGAAGGCGGUCUGCUGGGCCGUUGCUGACGCUGAGGCGCGACAGCGUGGGGAGCAAACAGG
rnacentral:rRNA from 1 species